GCCAGAUUAAUUAUGCCUUCUGGUGGAUCAAACCUAUUUCCACCGGUAAAUGGUUCUUUUCCUCUUAAAGGUUGAUGCUGAGAAGUUGCAGAUUCUGUCCGUCCUGAUACAGGUUUAUGCUCAUGUUUUGUUUCUGAGAUUGCAGAAGCCAACUCUUUGUAUUUCUCGAACUGCAUCAAACCAUCUUCAACAGUGGCAGGGCUGAAGUAUGAUGGUUUUGCAGCCACAGAAGACUUCUCAGGCUGAGAAACUAUAUUUCCUUCAUUCAAAGGAUCAACAGCUUCAGCAAUUGAUUCUUGGGCUAUACCAGAACGUGACUGGAGUAAUAGAAAUUGAGAAGCAAUCGAAUCAUCAGACUUCGACAACCGAUUCAAAAGUUCAGCCUGCUCCCUAGGAAUUCUCUCUGAAUGAAAGACUCGUGAAGGGCGUGUAGGUGUAUCAGUGUAGUUAAGAUCAGUCAUAUCCUCGUUUUCAGAAUAUCCAGAAGUAAAAGCCCCAACAGAUGUGAAAUGGUCAUCUUCUUUGAAAUCAGAACUAUAGCCAGUAUCAACAGCAUCAACAUGCGUUGUCCCAAGCACAGGCUCUAGGUGCUUCCCACUAUAGUUUGAAGCUUCCACUUGCACAUGGUUUGAAACCAAACCAGUGUGUUGCUGCAAGGGUGCAGUAAAUUCAUUUACUACAGGAGGAAUAGAGUCACUUUCACUUUUUCGCUGGGGAACACUAUCAACUGGCAAUUUCGCAUCCAUCACCUGUGCCUCUGGAUCAUACAUUCUGGUGACACCAUAUUGACCUUCCGUCGCAGCAUGACGAAGAGAUGCUAACUGAGGCUGUGGCAUGGGAACAAAUGAUCCUCCAACUGGAGCAUACUGGGAAGUAUAGUUAUAAUCAGAUGGCACAGAGU
rnacentral:misc_RNA from 1 species